AUGGCCCCGCGGACCCGACGGGGUUCGGCUCCCCCUCUGCGCUGUGGGAGAGGCGACAUAACCGCCCAAUCACCCGGCUGAAAGGCAGCGCCACUUCCACUGUGUCCCGGGGCAUCACCCGCCUCACCGGGAGAGGUCGCCUGAGGCGACGGCGCGCAUAGGCGCUACUGCCCAUGCGUCUCAGAGAGCGUUUCCUCCAGCGUCCUGGGCCCGUUCGUGCGCCCUUGCUCGUCGCCUCAUGUCCCGCCCAGGGCCCCGCCGUGCCACGGUGUCCUCAGGACUAGGGAGCUUCUCCCCUACUCCUUGGGCCCCCCAUGACCCGUGGGACACCCAUUUCCUAUGGGCUGUGUAUAUAUGUGCCAGAGGUGCAGCAAGUCACAUCCCACCCUGUCGGAGAUUCUUCCCAGGCAAAUGGAGAUGUUCUCUCCCAAAUCCCAGACCAGCCACAUCCCCUGCUGCCGGUGGAUCCUCCCUUUCCCGGGCAAACACCAUCCAGAUCGUGAGGGUCUAGGAGCACAAUGACUCCUGUCUGGGAUGAGGCUCAUAGCAGACCAUCAAACAUGGAGGUCACAUAAGCAGUGUCUCCCAUCCACUUCACUGAACAACAAAUGAUUGCACAACACACAGAGUACACAACUCUUGACUCCUUGAUCUGUUAUUUUUCUCUUUUUUCUACUCUGUUUUAAUUGCUGGUGAUCACUACCAAACUUUUCUCCUGGCUCAGUGGAUGUGAUUCAUCUUGGCUGCUGUCAAGAUGGAAUGGGAAGGUUCUGCACUACUGUCUGCCACCUUGAUGUGACAUGGGCUGCUCAUGAAAUCAUGUGUUGCUGGCAUUGUUGGGUCAUGUAUCCUUAAGAAUUGCAACACUCUAAACCUGACAAACAGGCACUUCAUCUAUCUGUACAAGCUCAUUCUCCUUUCUCUUUCUUUAUGGAAAAUUGGCAGACUCCCAACCUGUUUCCAUAGGAACGGGCUGGGAGACCGGGAAACCUCCAGCUGGUGAAGUCCCAGCAUUAACACAACCAUGGCAUCUGCUUGGCAAUGAGAGAAGUUCCUGCAGCUUCUGGAGAUUGAAGUCACAGCAAAACGAGUCAAUUUGUGGUCAAGAUAAGGAGCUGAUAACCAGCUUACCUGAGGCUGCCUGGCUGAUUAUGGUGGAGGGUGGAGAAAGCUCCAUUACUUGCUCUUGGAUGCUGGGCCUCAUCCUGCUCACCUGCUUCUUUGGGGGCUGCAUCAAAUCUCCCACUUUCCCCAGGCUGAGCAGAGGCUUCCCCGCAGGAUGGCAGCAUUCACUAAACCUCCCGUGUCAGCUGGAGAUGCCUCAGGUGUUUUGAUUUGCUUCUUAUGAAAUGAAAAGAGAGGAGAUAAAUUGUGGCACAGCUCCCCCACCUGACUUUCUGCUUGGAUGCCAGUUCUUAGCUCAGACUAUUGUUCUGGAGGGUUUCAUUUUAAACUCCUUUAUUAGACACUCUAAAAUAUCACUUCUUGCUCUUGCAGACAGCCUGUUCCUACACGAGAGAUUUGUACUUCUUAGUCAGCUGAUGGUGGUUUCUAAGGGAAGACAGCCCUGGGGGUGGUGGUUUAUUACCUGGCGUGCUGAUGUUUGAUUCCCUCUGCCUCAGGGCCAAGCUGUGCUCUCACUCUCCUGGUAAGAGGUGCAGUUAGGGUUUGGCCUCCUUGCAGAAGCACCCAUCAAACACUCCAGGCUCAUCAUAUGUGAAGUGAGGAACUGGGCUGAGCUGGUUCCCGUGUCCUUCCAAGUGUUGCACUUUCUCCAGUCUGACUGCAGAUGUACGGCUGGGAACUGACAUAGAAAAUCUUUCUAACUCCCGACCAUCAAUUCCCCUAGAAGGGAAAAAAUGCUUUAUUUUCUGCCAAUGGAUUUUUAUGGUAGCUAUAAACAUGGAGCAGGUAAUGCAUGGGGGAUGCUGUCCCAUUCUGAGCCUGCAGCCUUGGUAUGGGCGCCAGAGCUGCUUCCCAGAAAGGGACUUCUCCUUCUGCUUUGCUCUCUAUUGCUCCCAGCAGACAGGUUCCCAGCUGAGGAAGCAGCAGAGCUAUCUAGGGAAUUGCACAAACUUUUGCUCAGCGAAGGAGUGAACCUGAGCUUUGGUACAGCCCCAGCAGCUGCCAUAUCUGUGGUCUCAAGACAUCAAGCAGGGAUUACUCAUCCUGAGAGCUCUCAGUGAGGAUCAGAGGGGAAGGGAGACUCCUAACACCUCUGUCUAUGUGAUACUCAUGCUCCUCAGGCAUCAGUGUACUCCAGGAAUGGACAGUAUGGUGCCAUGGCUCAAAGCUGCAGUGGAGCCCAGCAAUGAAAGACACAUCUGCAGCAGAAGGAGGCAGCACACUGACUCCCACGGCAGCUGCAGUGGUGGGAAGCAGCAUGGUUUUAUUCUGUCUGGUACAAAAAGUAUCCUUGAAAAAAGGCAGAAGGCAGACUGUGGCUCAGCCACCUUAUAGCUGAACAUGCUAUGUAAGCACGGCCUUCACUUUGAAUUUUUGGAUGCUCAGGGGUUCUUUUCAUGUGGUUUUAGAGUCAUCAGAGCAUAUGUGGCCAAAUCUCCCCUGGAGUGGGCUCCUUGGGCUCCUCCCUCCCAGUGUCAUGAUGGCCAGGGGCUCCUUCAGCUUGGAAAGGAGCUGUGGGAAGACUGGCUGCUCAAAUCAUGCUUCAGAUGUUGGUCUCUCUUUGGCAUGGCUCCAGACUUGUCUCCCUUACAAGGUGUUGACUUAGGUGGUGGCCAAAGCAUUGCUGCAGGAGGUCAGAUAGGGACCCUACAAAGACUGUGAGCCACUCAGCUUGUUCUUGGAGGGGGACUAGUGAGGUUCCUUUCCACUGCUCUUAGCACAUCUAACUGGUUUCCAGAGAGUCAACCAGCUGAAUUAAUGAAUCGUUCCUAAAGCCAGAAUUCAAAGAUCUUCCUGGUACACGUCAGUUGACAUGGCAUUAAUACUCCCUUCUGUGACCUUUACAUCACCAUCCAGGCCCAGGCUCCCCUUUUUGCCCUUUCAUAUUUAAUAUUAAAUCUGAUUUAUCUGUAAGAGGGCUUUAUCAUGUGCUCAGACAAAUCAAAAGGAUUUCACAAUCCAUCCCUGAGGCAGAGCCAUGGGUGAUAAAAGCAUUGACCUGAGGAUAAAAUCAUCACAUGCACCCUGGACAGAGGUCUCCACCACUACUCCCUUGCCACUUAUCACCACUCCAGUGCCUGAUUUUUACCUGUGUUGCUUGAGGUACCUGCUGACCCCACCUUUUUCUUGAAGCUUAGUGCUCAACAAACUCCAGCAGCUGCCCAAGGCAGCAGCCACUGCUCUCUGCUCCUCUUGAUUUAUGUGCUAUUGAGCACAGAUAGAUUCUAAUGGGCCAUCUCACAGGGAAAAGCCUGGCACAGCUGCAUCUCUGAAGGACUUCCUUGCAUGUAGGGCUCCUUUGUGCCUCCCAUGAGAUCCCAUUACACUCUUUCACUACUUUUUCUUUAAUUGCUGCAGAUCAUUUUUUUUCAUGCAGCACAAACUGACUGCUGACAGAGUCAGUGCCAUGUGCUGAUGGAGACACAGGAGGGUUGGCUGGAGGGAGCAAUGGAUGGCAGAGGAGAUGCCGGUUGCAGAUCACAGGGACAUGUACAGCCCUGUAAUUGGCUGGCUUGCACAGAUUUCCUCCCAAACAGCAUUUUUUAAUCUAAAGGAAAGCAAGGAACUGGAACAUGUCUUGCUUCAUUCAUGGCUUCCCUGGAAGCAGCAGCAGCAUGUUAUGGAAAAAGAGAAGGAGGAGGAAAAAAUAGUCAGAAGCACCAGGUGGCUGAAUAUCUUGCAGCCUAAUUGAUUCCUCUUUAAUUAGAACAAAACCUGUUGCACUUAGCCAGCAUUCAUUGCCAGUUUUAGAGAAAGCAGCAUCUUCCCUGGCCCUAUACCAGCACAGCUUGGCAUGGAGGGAGGAGAAGAAACUCAGGAAACCAUGCAAAGCUGACAGUGCCUCUACCACACCUGGGAAUCGUGGCAAACUCGAGCUCCUACAACUUUCUUCAAGGCAGCAAGAGCAAGAUGAAGGAGAGCCAACCAUGUCAGUGUCUGUUGCACACUAAGCUGCAGCAAGAGACUUGUCUGGUAUUAACUGGGGUAACUGAGACUUCACAGGGAUUUCUGUGCUUGUGCCUGACCUCACUUGGGAGCUGCUCACUGCUUCUCUCACAAAUCCCAUUAUUUUUAAAAUGAGAAAG